UCGAGAUAACAAAAAAUCUUAAAUUUUGUCUUGGAUUUCUGAUAGCAGGAUUCCUGAUUCACUUUGCUGCUGUCGCUAUGCCUUUUUGGAAUUUCUUUGAGGAAAACGACUUGAUGGGGACAAAGUCUUUUAGACUAAUAAGUAUAGGUCUAUGGCAAGCUUGUUUUAAAAUGGGAGGCAAGUACUGGUGUCAAGGAUACACAGCGUACAGUGGGUUUACAGUAGUCCGGUUAUUUGAAUGUUUAUCAUUAGUUGGAUACGUAAUCAGUAUAUUGCUGUUAAUGGUAUAUCACCAGUUUCCAGUGUACGGCACCAGGAUAUUUAUUGCUAACAUUGCAAUAAUAGUAACAACAGUUGUGACAUCUGUGCUUGGUAUUCUAUGUUGGGCGACAGGAUGUGGAACAACUGUGCAGCAUAACUUGUCACUAUCAUUCGCGUUAGUAAUUAUUUCGCUGAUAUUCCCAAUGUUAUCUGUUUGGUUCCUUGUGAUAGAGAGAAUCACCCAAGAGGAGAACAAACGAAGGGACAGUUUAUCACACCCAGAGAAAACUAUAGAUUUAAUAUAAUAUACACAUGUGUGCAAUAAUUGUAAAUUUUAAAAUGCUUUUGAAAAGUGCUCAGUUUAUAAUUUUAUCAAUAAUCCAUUGUUGUUUUUUUUUUUUUACUUUAAACGUUUUCGUAUGACGAAAGUUUGAGAAGUAAAGAUUAAUGUAUCAACUUUUCCCUUCAUGCAUUCAGUGUAUAGUGAUAAUUGACCAAGUAUAAUCAUAUCAUAUUGACUGACAAGAAGAUCUGACAAGGUCUAACUCUGACAUUCAGUUCCUUUAAUUGUUUUCAACACCAGCAACAGUAAAAUAAUUUAAUUCAUUCAAUGAUGGGUGCGUAUGUUCAGCGACCAACAUUGCGAGCAUAUUCACGACAGUAUCGUGUGUUGCAUUAUAGAAUUUAACACACAAGAUCGGAUAGGAAAGUAUUGGUUGAUUCAUUGAUUGUUGUUUGCUUAACUUCAAAUGUCAAAUAUUUCAUGCAUAUUCCAAGCGACAACAAAACAACAAUAAAAUCAAUAGGUAGGCUCUGCAAUGUAGUUCGUGAUCAACCAGGAUGAACAGCAGGAAAUUUAGACUGUCACUGGAUAAAGAGUAAUGAUGGAAAGGAGCAGAAAUUUUGCCGUGCAACUAGCCACCGUUUAAUAAAAAGUAUUAGCCUUAAAGUUAUCUUACUAAUUUUAUUAAUACUUUUAACAAUUUUCAUUGAAAUCUUAUAAUACCUUUUGGCUUAAUAGAUGUACCAAAACAAUUUUUACAUUAACUUCUAAAACAAAAUAUACCCAGUUGUCGUGUAUAACGUACAGCAUGCUUUGAUUUCAGUUAAUACGACUUUUUGUGGGAAACCGACUCGUCUCAGAUGAAAAAAAAAAUGGCCCAAAAUAUGCCCAAAUAUAUAAAAGGCUAAGAAAAGGCUAUCAUUUCUCAUUAACAUAAAUAGCCAAUACAAUCUCUACAAUAAUGCAGUAAAAAAUAGGAAAAAAGUCAAAGUUUCUAAACAAAAAGUGCACAGUUCAGAAUCUUUUAAUUUACAAAUUUAUAAAAAUAAAUGUUAAAUUGUUAAAAAUAGGAAAAGUAACUAAGUAUAUGCAAGGGGAAGCACGAUAUCAAAAUAUUCGAAUUGUAUUACAGAAAAAUAGUGUUUCUUUCUUAACCUCUGAACAAAGAGGGAAAUUAAUCGGAAUUGUAAAUUGUUAAAAGCAGCACUUAUUGAAACCUAAAUCGCAUUGUUCUUUAUAUAUGUUUAACCCCACCACAUUCUGUAUGUAUGUGCCUGUCCAAUGUCAGGAGCCUGUAAUUCAGUCUUUGUCUCUUUGGCAAUCAUACCACAUCUUCUUUUUAUAUUAAUUCAAUGUAUAUAUAUUUUCCUUAACGUGUAUCUUCAAAUAAUUUGCUCUUUUUUAAUACCUUGUGCCUUAUACUGUAUUAUGUAAUUGAAAAAUAAAGAAAUUACAAAAAAAGUAAAUGCUGCGAAGUAGUUUACAUGAAUAAAGUUCAAAAAUAAAUAAAAAUAGUUCAACCUCCUAAUUAUAAAAUGUAUACACAAAACAUAAAUCCAUAAAGGCUGACAUAAGUAAACAGAAAAUUGUUGCCAUAUCCUCAUCCUCAAGGCGAAGAAAACAUCGUUCAUCCUAUCUGUUUUCCUUGGAAGAAAAUGUUGUAAUAUAUAAUAGCUAAUUCAAAGCAUUAUCAAAAAUAAUAUUUACGAACAGAAUAUCAAAUUCAGUCAACAUGACAACAACGGCCAUUUCUCAAUAGAAUUCAAUUAUGGAAUCUCGAUCACUAAGAUCACAUUUCUUGCACGGGUCAACAAGAGAAUCUCAUUUGUUUCUGACCUACCUUCUCAAUCUCUGAUCAUACAUUGUCACACUUUUAGCGAGCGAAAAUAAAUAUAGAAAAACGUCGUAGACUGUCCAAGAUUUUCCCCGAUCCAACCUUACUGACCAAAUCUGUCUUUACACUUGCUACUUAUAGCUGAGUGGUACUCUUAACCAAGAUCUUCGUCAGCUGACUCGAUCUUGCAAUGUUUUUGUUGUGGGAACAAAUGAUGUAUGACUUUAAAAGACAUACUGCAUACCCAGUCUUUUUACAUUCACUCUAUAGAAAGUUGGAUUCGAAUUACCACUUUUUUAUUAAAUUCUUCAACGUGGAAUCAUGCUUCUUCAAUAAAUCUCUUUAUUUGAAAUUAAAUUUAUAAAAAUAUAUUUUGACCAAUUUAUGAUAAACGAAUAUGUGUGUCCCUGCUGUUAAACUUUUUCUGAAUAAAAACAAUAUAACGUUUAUUGAAAUCCGAGACUUCACUGCAAAAACGCGAAUACCGAACCAAAUGAGAAAUAUAAAAUCCAUAAGAACCUGUAGGAACAUGUCAUUAUCAAAGAAAGGAAACGGAAAAUUACGAUAGAAACGGAAACGUCGUCCCUUCUUUCGUAAACUUAAUAAGAAAUUCGCCAUGUGAAAUUCUGAUAUCAAAGUCUAAAAAUGGAAAUCGGUUAAUAAUAAUGAUUAAUAAUAAUAAAAGAUUGUUGUGUCUAUAAAACAUAAAAUUUAUAUAAUUUUUGGUUCUUAAAAUGUUAAUCAAUACAUUAAGGUAAGAAAACUGUAUAUUGAAAACUUACGUAUUUUUAAUAUUGAAUGCACAACAAAUUAUCAAAUGUCUUUGUUUGAGGCAUUGUACUGAGAACAAGUGACUGCCAGAGACUUUUGAUUAUAUCAUACAUGAAUAUUCUUGUGUAUAUUA